UCGCGGGAUGGAGCAGUUCGGUAGCUCGUCGGGCUCAUAACCCGAAGGUCGCAGGUUCAAAUCCUGCUCCCGCAAU
rnacentral:tRNA from 9 species